GGGUCUGUAGCUCAGUCGGUUAGAGCGCACCCCUGAUAAGGGUGAGGUCGGUGGUUCAAUUCCACCCAGACCCA
rnacentral:tRNA from 2 species